rnacentral:rRNA from 1 species
GACAGAGGAUGCAAGCGUUAUCCGGAUUGACUGGGCGUAAAGAGUUGCGUAGGUGGUAAUUUAAGCGAAUAGUGAAAUCUUGUGGCUCAACCAUAAGGCUAUUAUUCGAACUGGGUUACUCGAGUAUGGGAGAGGUAUCUGGAAUUCUUAGUGUAGGGGUAAAAUCCGUAGAUACUAGGAGGAACACCAAUGGCGUAGGCAGGAUACUGGCCCAUUACUGACACUGAGGCACGAAAGCGUGGGGAGCGAACAGG